UAUGUGGCUGAGUCGUAGGGGAGAGAAUCUUUCAAGUGCAGAGAAAUGUGUUGGUCCGCUUUGUUAAACCUGGCUGUGAAUCUUCCUUUGAUCUUCUCUUUCUCAUGUGAUUGAAUAUACAUCAGAUGGUGAAUGCCUUCCAUGGGAUCCUGCCUAAACCACUGGAAGAAAUCCAAAGUUGCGUCUCUUUUACUUUUGGGGUCGUGCCUGGUGUAGCAAGAUCCCCAUCUAACAGUUGCAGGAGCCCCAGCUGGAGCAUUUGGGUACGGGCUGCAGCUGAGGAGACAACACUGUGUCUCCACUGCACACAGAAAGGUAGGAGCGUUCUCUUGCUGCUUAUACCAAAAUAGGCUUUGGAAGUUGGUCACUUCAUAACUGCAGUUGAGAGUUGCACUGCCUUCCUCCUGGACAACCACUGACAGGGGGCUCUGCAUCACCUUGUCUUCACCGCGCACCCCUGUUCAGAAGAAAGUAACAGAUACGUCAGAGAAAGAGUGGUGUCAGAUCAAGUCUUCUCCGAGAUCAUAAUUAUUCUCCACUGUAACAGCAAAUGCUCCCAGAUAAGUCAAGAUGAAUGCCACUUUCCUGAGAAUCAGUCCUCAGAUUUCCCCAGUUGUCCCUGGCCUUUUGUAGUAAUGCUACUCACAGCUCAGCUGAAGCCAAAUGAUCACUAGUGAAGUUCGUGGCCACUUCUUCAUUCUUCCACUCUUGGGUUGGUUUUCCUAGGCAAAAUGUGAUUCACUUCCCUGAGCUUUUCUUUUUCUUUUU